UUAACUAUUAUAUAGUACUCAGACAAUACAAAAUCAAGAGUUUAGGGUCCUCUGGCAGGCACUGACCAGCUGAUGCCGGUAGUCAAAAGACAGGCCUGCCAAAGCAACAAAGGUAUAGUAAACAAAGGGUGGAGAUCUACCCCAAGGGGCAAGUUCUCUGUAAUGAUCCUUCCGCAGGUUCACCUACGGAAA
rnacentral:misc_RNA from 1 species